UACAGAGGGUGCAAGCGUGUUCGGAAUUAUUGGCGUAAAGCGCGUGUAGGCGGCUUGUUAAGUCGGGUGUGAAAGCCCUCAGCUCAACUGAGGAAGGGCGCCCGAAACUGGCGAGCUUGAGUGUCGGAGAGGAUGGCGGAAUACCCCAAGUAGAGGUGAAAUUCGUAGAUAUGGGGUGGAACACCGGUGGCGAAGGCGGCCAUCUGGACGACAACUGAUGCUGAGACGCGAAAGCGUGGGGAGCAAACAGG
rnacentral:rRNA from 1 species